rnacentral:rRNA from 1 species
GAUGAACGCUGGCGGCGUGCUUAACACAUGCAAGUCGAACGGUAAGGCCCUUCGGGGUACACGAGUGGCGAACGGGUGAGUAACACGUGGGUGAUCUGCCCUGCACUUCGGGAUAAGCCUGGGAAACUGGGUCUAAUACCGGAUAGGACCCUGGGAUGCAUGUCCUGGGGUGGAAAGCUUUUGCGGUGUGGGAUGGGCCCGCGGCCUAUCAGCUUGUUGGUGGGGUGAUGGCCUACCAAGGCGACGACGGGUAGCCGGCCUGAGAGGGUGACCGGGCACGCUGGGACUGAGAUACGGCCCAGACUCCUACGGGCGGCAGCAGUGGGGAAUAUUGCACAAUGGGCGCAAGCCUGAUGCGGCGACGCCGCGUGAGGGAUGACGGCCUUCGGGUUGUAAACCUCUUUCAGCACCGACGAAGCGCAAGUGACGGUAGGUGCAGAAGAAGGACCGGCCAACUACGUGCCAGCCGCCGCUGUAA